rnacentral:tRNA from 1 species
UCUCCGUUAGUAUAGUGGUGAGUAUCCCCGUCUGUCACGCGGGAGACCGGGGUUCGAUUCCCCGACGGGGAG